rnacentral:rRNA from 1 species
CCUACGGGUGGCAGCAGUGGGGAAUAUUGCACAAUGGGGGAAACCCUGAUGCAGCAACGCCGCGUGAGUGAGGAAGUAUUUCGGUAUGGAAAGCUCUAUCAGCAGGGGAUAGAAAAGAAGGUACCUGAAAAAGAAGCCCCGGCUAACUACGUGCCAGCAGCCGCGGGAAUACGUAGGGGGCAAGCGUUAUCCGGAUUUACUGGGUGUAAAGGGAGCGUAGACGGAAAGGCAAGUCAGAAGUGAAAGCCCAAGGCUCAACCAUGGGACUGCUUUUGAAACUGUCAAACUAGAGUGAAGUAGAGGUUGGCGGAAUGCCGAGUGUAGCGGUGAAAUGCGUAGAUAUUAGGCGGAACACCAGUUGCGAAGGCGGCACUCUGGACUGUAACUGACACUGAGGUACGAAAGCGUGGGGAGCAAACAGGAUUAGAUACCCUUGUAGUC